UCCCCUAGUAACGGCGAGUGAAGCGGGAUGAGCUCAAAUUUGAAAUCUGGCUGGUUUACUAGUCCGAGUUGUAAUUUAAAGAAGCGUUUUCGGUGGCAGCCUGGGUAUAAAUCCUUUGGAAUAGGGUAUCAUAGAGGGUGAGAAUCCCGUCUUUGACCUAGUGCAUGCUACUAUGUGAUACGUUUUCAAAGAGUCGAGUUGUUUGGGAAUGCAGCUCAAAAUGGGUGGUAAAUUUCAUCUAAAGCUAAAUAUUGGCGAGAGACCGAUAGCGAACAAGUACCGUGAGGGAAAGAUGAAAAGAACUUUGAAAAGAGAGUUAAACAGUGCGUGAAAUUGUUGAAAGGGAAACGUUUGACACCAGUCAUGUGGGUGGAAAAUCAGUCUUUUGCAUUGGGGAGUUGUAAGGGUUCGGACCGCAAGGCCGGCUUUUGCUUCAUCUUUGGUGUAAGUGAUGCACUUUUUCAUCUACAGGUCAACAUCAGUUUCUUUUGCUGGACAAAACUCCGAGAGAAGGUAGCAGCUUAGGCUGUGUUAUAGCUCUGGAGCGAUACAGUGAAGGGGACUGAGGUUUUCGCAGCGUGUGCUCUCGGGCAAGGCUGGAUGGGUGCUAUGGGAUCGUUCGGGGUACAAUGCCUGGCAUUUUGCUUCGUGUCUU
rnacentral:rRNA from 1 species